UACGUAGGAUCCGAGCGUUGUCCGGAUUUACUGGGUGUAAAGGGUGCGCAGGCGGAAUGGUAAGUCCGUGGUGAAAUCUCGUCGCUUAACGACGAAACUGCCUUUGAUACUAUCAUUCUUGAAUCCGGUAGAGAUCUGUGGAAUUCCGAGUGUAGCAGUGAAAUGUGUAGAUAUUCGGAAGAACACCAGUGGCGAAGGCAGCAGAUUGGGCCGGUAUUGACGCUCAGGCACGAAAGCCAGGGGAGCAAACGGG
rnacentral:rRNA from 1 species